UUAAGUGACUAAGCGUACAAGGUGGAUGCCUUGGCAAUCAGAGGCGACGAAGGACGUGCUAAUCUGCGAAAAGCUUGGAUGAGUCGAUAAGAGGCGUUUAAUCCAAGAUGUCCGAAUGGGGAAACCCAGUAGAUGAAGAAUCUACUAUCACUUACUGAAUCCAUAGGUAAGUGAGGCAAACCGGGAGAACUGAAACAUCUAAGUACCCCGAGGAAAAGAAAUCAACCGAGAUUUCGUUAGUAGCGGCGAGCGAACGCGAAGGAGCCUGUUAGUGAUAAUGACAGAGACAGAGGAACAAGCUGGGAAGCUUGGCGAUACAGGGUGAUAGCCCCGUACUCGAAGUCCAGGUCAUGGUACUAAGCUAACGACAAGUAGGGCGGGACACGUGAUAUCCUGUUUGAAGAUGGGGGGACCAUCCUCCAAGGCUAAAUACUCCUGAUUGACCGAUAGUGAACCAGUACUGUGAAGGAAAGGCGAAAAGAACCCCGGUGAGGGGAGUGAAAUAGAACCUGAAACCUUGUACGUACAAGCAGUGGGAGCCCUUUAAGGGUGACUGCGUACCUUUUGUAUAAUGGGUCAGCGACUUAUAUUUUGUAGCGAGGUUAACCGAAUAGGGGAGCCGAAGGGAAACCGAGUCUUAACUGGGCGUCUAGUUGCAAGGUAUAGACCCGAAACCCGGUGAUCUAGCCAUGGGCAGGUUGAAGGUUGGGUAACACUAACUGGAGGACCGAACCGACUAAUGUUGAAAAAUUAGCGGAUGACUUGUGGCUGGGGGUGAAAGGCCAAUCAAACCGGGAGAUAGCUGGUUCUCCCCGAAAUCUAUUUAGGUAGAGCCUUGAGCGGACACCUUCGGGGGUAGAGCACUGUUUCGGCUAGGGGUCCAUCCCGGAUUACCAACCCGAUGCAAACUACGAAUACCGAAGAGUGAUACUCAGGAGACACACGGCGGGUGCUAACGUCCGUCGUGGAGAGGGAAACAACCCAGACCGCCAGCUAAGGUCCCAAAGUCUAUAUUAAGUGGGAAACGAAGUGGGAAGGCUUAGACAGCUAGGAUGUUGGCUUAGAAGCAGCCAUCAUUUAAAGAAAGCGUAAUAGCUCACUAGUCGAGUCGGCCUGCGCGGAAGAUGUAACGGGGCUCAAAUAUAGCACCGAAGCUGCGGCAUCAGUAGCAAUACUGUUGGGUAGGGGAGCGUUCUGUAAGCGGAUGAAGGUGGCUCGAGAGGGCUGCUGGACGUAUCAGAAGUGCGAAUGCUGACAUAAGUAACGAUAAAACGGGUGAAAAACCCGUUCGCCGGAAGACCAAGGGUUCCUGUCCAACGUUAAUCGGGGCAGGGUGAGUCGGCCCCUAAGGCGAGGCUGAAAAGCGUAGUCGAUGGGAAACGGGUUAAUAUUCCCGUACUUGGAUAAACUGCGAUGUGGGGACGGAGCAGGUUAGGUUAUCGCACUGUUGGAUAUGUGCGUUUAAGUUGGUAGGUGAGAAGUUUAGGCAAAUCCGGACUUCUAUAACACCGAGAGAUGAUGACGAGGCUCUACGGAGCUGAAGUAACCGAUACCACACUUCCAGGAAAAGCCACUAAGCUUCAGGUUUAUCUAAACCGUACUGAAAACCGACACAGGUGGUCAGGUAGAGAAUACUCAGGCGCUUGAGAGAACUCGGGUGAAGGAACUAGGCAAAAUAGCACCGUAACUUCGGGAGAAGGUGCGCCGGCGUAGAUUGUAGUCCCUUGCGGAUGAAGGUUGAACCGGUCGAAGAUACCAGCUGGCUGCAACUGUUUAUUAAAAACACAGCACUCUGCAAACACGAAAGUGGACGUAUAGGGUGUGAUGCCUGCCCGGUGCUGGAAGGUUAAUUGAUGGUGUAAUCGAAAGAGAAGCUCCUGAUCGAAGCCCCAGUAAACGGCGGCCGUAACUAUAACGGUCCUAAGGUAGCGAAAUUCCUUGUCGGGUAAGUUCCGAC
rnacentral:rRNA from 1 species